AAAUGCUUGUCAUGUAUGUUCCAGGCUUUGCUCUAGUAAUUUCGGAUAUAUCAAUGAACAAAGCAGGAAAGAAAAAAAAAAAAGGCAAAAUCUCUGCCUUCCGGGAGCUCACAUUCCCACAGGAGUCACAGGAAACAGCCAAUGACCAGUAAGCAUCACAAAGAAGUCAUGCCAAAGAACCAGACAAAUAGCUGGAAGGAAGAGGGGAACUCCUUUGUGACGCCAAAUGGGCCAAAGGGUCGCUGGGAAAACUAAGCCUUACUGUCCAUCUUGCCUUCAGGAUAAUGUGAAAUAUGGCCUAAUUUUUGAAGUUUUUUUCUUAGAAAUUUUACUGAAUCCAAAAUAAAACAAGAAGAUCAUGGUGGAUAUAGCUUCCAAAUUUAUUCUGCAAUAAAACAGGUUUGAAUCUAGAUAUACAAGCAAAUAGCAAAUAAUAUACAUUCUUUUUUGCAGAGUCCAGAAUUCUCUUUUCUCAACACUAGAUGGCAGUAGAGUUAAAGAAAAAAAUCCCAGCAGUUCUUUGUACAGGGAUUUGGUGAUUUUUCCCAUAAAGCUGCGAUGAGGAUGAACUCAGAGCAAAAUCUAUGUAAGUAGAAAGUUAAAUUACAAUAGAGGUGUGAAAUGAUGCUUUAACAUGUCACACGCUCAUUUUGGCAAAAUGUGUUUGGGGCAGAACUCUC
rnacentral:lncRNA from 10 species